UACGGGGGGGGCAAGCGUUGUUCGGAAUUACUGGGCGUAAAGGGCUCGUAGGCGGCCAACUAAGUCAGACGUGAAAUCCCUCGGCUAAACCGGGGAACUGCGUCUGAUACUGGAUGGCUUGAGUUCGGGAGAGGGAUGCGGAAUUCCAGGUGUAGCGGUGAAAUGCGUAGAUAUCUGGAGGAACACCGGUGGCGAAGGCGGCAUCCUGGACCGAUACUGACGCUGAGGAGCGAAAGCGUGGGUAGCAAACAGG
rnacentral:rRNA from 1 species